rnacentral:rRNA from 1 species
CCUACGGGAGGCAGCAGUGGGGAAUAUUGGACAAUGGGCGAAAGCCUGAUCCAGCCAUGCCGCGUGUGUGAAGAAGGCCUUCGGGUUGUAAAGCACUUUCAGUGGGGAAGAAAGCCUUGGGGCUAAUACCCUCGAGGAAGGACAUCACCCACAGAAGAAGCACCGGCUAACUCCGUGCCAGCAGCCGCGGUAAUACGGAGGGUGCGAGCGUUAAUCGGAAUUACUGGGCGUAAAGCGCGCGUAGGCGGUCUGAUAAGCCGGUUGUGAAAGCCCCGGGCUCAACCUGGGAACGGCAUCCGGAACUGUCAGGCUAGAGUGCAGGAGAGGAAGGUAGAAUUCCCGGUGUAGCGGUGAAAUGCGUAGAGAUCGGGAGGAAUACCAGUGGCGAAGGCGGCCUUCUGGACUGACACUGACGCUGAGGUGCGAAAGCGUGGGUAGCAAACAGGAUUAGAUACCCUGUGUC